UGUCUGUGGGCAGUUAGUAGAUGCCCGAACAUGUGGGGUACCAUUUUCUUCUGAUGUAGCCAUUUGUCAAUUGUGCAGGCUCCAGGAAAUAACCCCAUACUCACAUUCAUACACACAACCCUCAUUAAAAACCAAAUAUGUCAACAACAACCAAAACAGAGGAAACAGGUUUAUGUGAGACUACAAGAGCAGCUGACAGGGACAGCGUCUGAAUAGGCAAGAGUUGAGCCAGUGCCUCUGUGGCACACUUCCGUCUCCCAGACAGUGUUUCCAGCCACACCAUCAUGCCAGACCACCAUAGGCUAGAUGCUUCAGACAGUUCAAGUUCAUCUCUCUGAAAGCUUCAAGUCCUAUAUCCAGGUGGAGACCUCAGAGCUCCUGAUGAAUUAUGUAAAAUCAACGUCCAGACGAGGAGAGAUCUGUCAGCUGCGUCUCUGACCUGUAGGACGAAGCCUGAGAACACUGGAUUUUUAUACAAGGGAGAUCCUGUCACUCGUGAAUAAUUUGGAAGAUGUCUUCACCUUUUCUCUGAGGACCCCGAAGUCCACUCCAUAAUAAA